GACGGAGGAUGCAAGCGUUAUCCGGAAUGAUUGGGCGUAAAGCGUCCGCAGGUGGCCGUUCAAGUCUGCUGUCAAAGACCGGGGCUUAACUUCGGAAAGGCAGUGGAAACUGAACAGCUAGAGUAUGGUAGGGGCAGAGGGAAUUCCUGGUGUAGCGGUGAAAUGCGUAGAUAUCGGGAGGAACACCAGUGGCGAAGGCGACUACCUGGCCUGUUCUUGACGCUGAGGCGCGAAAGCUAGGGGAGCAAACGGG
rnacentral:rRNA from 1 species